AGUAACUCUAUAUGCAUUUUUAGGCUAGUUAAUUAAUUAGGUCAUUAGUCAAUUAAUGAGUGAAAUAUAUAAAUAUUUUAGCCACACAAAUUAGUUUUAAUUAAAAUUUGAGUCCAUAGUGGUUAAUUUUGCAAAAAUGUCUAAUAAAGAAAGAUGAGAAGGAAAGAAAGGGUUGUUGGUGCACAUCUUUUAGAAUUGGGCCAAGCAAAUUCGGUGGCCCAGUUUUUCCACAAGCUUGCCCUAAAUUCUCCCUUAAUUACCCAAUUCUUUUCUCAUUUUUGAAAAGAGGGGACAGACAAGUGAAAAGAGAACAGGGACAGAACCCCAUCCCCUUAAAAAAAAAAAACCUAGCUGCCUCUUCUUCACACAUAUAGACACACGAUUCUUACUCAUGUAAUUCACGCCUCUAUUUUCAUUCACCCACAUACACACCCCUAGUAAUACAAUUCCCACAGAUCUGAAGCCGAUUGAGAAAAACAAAAACAAAAUAAUGAAUUAAAAGGUUUGAAUUCGAGAUCUGAGAUGCAAAAUUUUGAAAUAAAAACAAAAGAAAAGAGUGAAUUUCAAGGAGAACUAAAGCUGAAUCGAUUAUUGUGGAUUGAAAUUCUGCCCUUUCUCGGCUGGAAGUUGCUUGCCGAGUUCCAUAUUUGGUCUCUCCUUGCUGUUUUUUGGUAUGUAGCUAUAACUUUGUAUGCUUCCGUUAAGAUAUUAAUUUGAAGAUCUGAAUUUUCAGUUCUGUUUCAUAUGAUAUGUUUUUCUUGCUGUUUGAUGAAUAACUUGGUUUAAUUCUGAGGAUUUGAUUCUUAGUUUAAUUCUAAGUCAAAGUAAAUAACCUUGUAUGCUUUAAUCCACCAAACACCUUUAAAUUUUAA